CUUACUCCUACGGGAGGCAGCAGUGGGGAAUAUUGCCCAAUGGGCGCAAUCCUGACUGCAGCCAUGCCGCGUGAUAUGAAGAAGGCCUUCGGGUUAGUAAAGUACUUUCAGCGGAGAGGAAGGCAGUAAGGUCAAUAACUUCGCUCCCUGACCUUACCCGCACAAGAAGCACCGGCUAACUCCCUGCCCACAGCCGCGGUAAUUAA
rnacentral:rRNA from 1 species